UUGUGAGUGUCGACCUUGACAACUCACGGCUCACAUCCGUGAGGUUCGUAGGUUCGAGUCCUAUCUCGCCCACCA
rnacentral:tRNA from 1 species